rnacentral:rRNA from 1 species
UGGGGAAUAUUGCAUAAUGGGCGCAAGCCUGAUGCAGCCAUGCCGCGUGUAUGAAGAAGGCCUUCGGGUUGUAAAGUACUUUCAGCGGGGAGGAAGGGAGUAAAGUUAAUACCUUUGCUCAUUGACGUUACCCGCAGAAGAAGCACCGGCUAACUCCGUGCCAGCAGCCGCGGUAAUACGGAGGGUGCAAGCGUUAAUCGGAAUUACUGGGCGUAAAGCGCACGCAGGCGGUCUGUCAAGUCGGAUGUGAAAUCCCCGGGCUCAACCUGGGAACUGCAUUCGAAACUGGCAGGCUAGAGUCUUGUAGAGGGGGGUAGAAUUCCAGGUGUAGCGGUGAAAUGCGUAGAGAUCUGGAGGAAUACCGGUGGCGAAGGCGGCCCCCUGGACAAAGACUGACGCUCAGGUGCGAAAGCGUGGGGAGCAAACAGG